rnacentral:sRNA from 1 species
AGCGUCUUUGAGGCCAUCGGCAGCGAAAGCGACUUGGUCGAGAUUAUAGGUCUGGUUGUAGAGCAUGUUGCGCUGUUCUUCGUACCUUGAAACAGGCAACGUACAUUCAUCAGAGUUGCAUAGUGGAGUAGUAGCAAAUACUCUACUAGUAGUAGAAUAGUGAGUAAGAGUAGAGUAGAGUACAUGCGCUUGUGCUUGAGAAGCCUGAUGGCGCGGGCCUUAAUGGCGUCCUGGGAGGGUCCAGGGCGUGUCUUCCUGAUCUGCUCCUUGUAACGGCCGAGCUCUUCGUCCAGCUUCUUGAUCUUGUCGUCCACGCUCUCCCCCCUCUUGUUGAUCUUCAAUCACAUACACAUAGAGAGGAAAUGUUCAAACUAAGAGAGAUGGCGUGCGAGCAAAUGGCCUAGACGAGGAGAAUACUCGUUCGGUAGCGUCCUGGAUGGAUGGGGGCGGGUCCUUGCUCUUCUUGGCUCCAAAGAUCUUCUUCAUUUCCGGCGCGUGUGUGCGGCGGCGGCGGCGGCGGCGGCGGCAGCGGCAGCGAGGAGAGAGAGUGUUGGGAGUGAGAUGAGAUGGAGAAGGGGAAUGGGGGACGGGAGGUUGGGCUCCAUGCUGAAUUCUGCUGUGGAUUGGGCCAGGGAAGGCCCUAUCCGGCAUACCAUUAAUCGGAUUUGAUUUCAUUCCCUUUCUCCUCCUUAGUCAUACUCCCUCCCUUCCAUAUUUGACUUAUUUUUUCUUAGUUAAUUUUUUAGCUUGAUCAAAUUUAUAGAAAAACUAAACACUAUCUAUGACAUCAAAUUAUUUUUAUUAAAUGUAGCAUAAAAUACAUUUUGAUAGUAUGUUUGUUUUCUGUUAAAAAUAUUGCUAUUGUCAAAGCAAUAAGCUCUUCUAGUGGGAAGGCAAAGUACCCUCCCUUGAGAAUUCUGCUAGUGUGCAGGUUCCGAGCUCGUACUCGGUUUGCGUGUGGGGUUGGAGACAAGUGGUUUAUACAGAUGCCGCUCGAAAACAUAAUACACAUACUCAUGUGAUAUUGCUAUGGAUAAUGAACUUUACAAGGAGAUGAUUGGGUUGUUCUAAGUGAGAGAGGAUGAACUCUUCUUCAUUGUCUAAGUGAGAGAGGAUGAACCCUUGUUCAUUGUAAUGUGGCUAGAAACUAACUUUGCUUGAGUCCGAUCCCUUUCUAUGUGGCACGGAUGCUCCUUUUAUACGUCAAGGGGAGUCCGUAGUCCCAUGCAUGCAUAAAAAAAAGGGCCCCAACCCAUAGGGGUUGAUAUGCUUGGUCUUAUUGCUGUCCCUCCAAGCAGGGUGACCGGAUGUGAAGGGUCCACCUAUCAGCCCACGACGUUGGUAAAAAGAGGGGUCCAUCAGGUGAAUACGGAGCAAAUGCGCGUCACACAUCUUUUACUCCGGGGUGACGUGGGCAAGCAAGGCGAAGCAUGCACGGCCAUAUCCCCCACAUCGCCAGUGAUAUGUUCAUAGAAACUGUAUUACCCGACAAUUAAUGCAGAAUGACAGGCUAAGGGAGUACACGUAGGACCGGAUAUCAAAUCUCCUUAACGAAGCAAAUUCGUUCAGAGAGACCUCCUGGCGCUAUCCUUGGGGCCAUGGCCCAUAUGCAGCGGCCGUAGGGGUUCCGAGGUAAUGAAAGCUUGUCUUAAGGCUACUGUUGUCCUCGGGUCACCUUUGUCCGUCAACUCCCACUUUGCUCCCGUGGUGCCCCGAGCCAUCGAUGGAGUGUGAGGAUUCUCGCUCCGACAAUGAUGUUUUCCUAUAAAUUUAAUUAUUAUUUUUUAAAAUGUUUAACUUAUAAGAGCAUGGUUAAUGGUUUCGUCGGCAGCUGGCGCAAUAGGGUGGCCAUGUCACUUUAAGCAUUUGAGAAGGUCAUUGCAGAUAGUGAACUGGCGUAGAGGUUGGCUAUAAGAGUUAAUGCUUGCAUGUACUAGUAGCAAAUGGGAGAGAAGGAGCUGCUGGCUUAGUCGCAUGCAGCAGGCUGAGAAGAAGCUUUUUAUCUCGGUUCUGCUGCUUCAAGCGAGCGUCUCACCAAUCGCUCGUCCUAUUCUCUAUUAGGAUUUCUCUCUCUUCCACCUCAGAUUUGGGUGACGUGGUCAGUUAUUUCGCCGGCUAACUGUGCUUCACUAUACUUGCUCUAAAUAAGUCAAAGCCUAAAAAAUAUUAAUUAUUCCCUCCCUCACAAGAGGAAUGUACUAGGGACUAGGAGAGAGCAGCAGCAUCAGCAAUUAAGGAGACCGGUAGCUGUAUCAGUCGUGAAUUAUUUUUUUUACUAGCUAUCAAAGAACAGUCGUACGUGAAUGUAUUAACCAUAUAUGUGAUGGAUUGACACACACACAUAGUACUCUCUCCGUUACAAAAUGAUGAUCAUAUAAUUUUUUUAAGGUUAUUUUUAAAUGAUCAUUAUAUUUAUAUUUAUUUAUUAAAUAUAUUUGUUAUUUGUGUAUUGAAGUAAGUUGAUAUUGAUGUAUGUAUUUAUACACA